GAUGAAGAACGUAGCGAAAUGCGAUAAGUAAUGUGGAUUGCAGAAUUCAGUGAAUCAUCGAAUCUUUGAACGCACAUUGCGCCCGCCAGUAUUCUGGCGGGCAUGCCUGUUCGAGCGUCAUUUCAACCAUCAAGCCCUGCUUGCGUUGGGGUCCUGCGGCUGCCCGCAGGCCCUGAAAACCAGUGGCGGGCUCGCUAGUCACACCGAGCGCAGUAAUACAUCUCGCUUUGGGCGUGCGGCGGGUUCUUGCCGUUAAACACCCCCUUUUUACCAAGGUUGACCUCGGAUCAGGUAGGAAUACCCGCUGAACUUAAGCAUAUCAAUAAGCGGAGGA
rnacentral:misc_RNA from 1 species